GGGAGAGCCAGCUGCCACAGUGUGAGCUGCCCUAUGGAGAGGCCUCUAUAGCAAGAAAGUGAGGCCUUCAGUCCAGCAACCCUCAAGCAACUGAAACCUGCCAACAACCACAUGAGUCAGCUUGGAAGUGGAUCCAUUACCCAUCAGGCUUUCAGAUGAGACCACAGCCCCGGCUGCCACCUUGAUUCCAACUUCAUGAGAGAUCCAGAGACAGAGAACCUAGCUAAUCUGUGACUAGAUUCCUGACUCACAGAAACUAUGAGAUAAUAAAUGUCUG
rnacentral:lncRNA from 1 species